AGGAGGGCGAUGGAGUUGGCAGCAAUAGUUGUAGUGGUUGCUUCCAUGGCCAAAACAAGUCGAAGUCGAGUUGACCAGGACAACUUGGACUUUUACUGCGUUUUUGAAAUGGUUUUCCUGAAUUUCUGCAAUUAAUCUUACCAUUUUUUUUUUCCACACAAUGGGUGGGAAAAUGUUAUUUACUCAAAACUAUAAUAGAAGGGACCAGCGGGAGGCAGGAGAAGACAAAGAAAGAAGCAUGUAAUGUAAGUGUAGUUUCAGAGCAGAGUAGCUUAUUAUUUUCUCAACCUGACAGUCAAAGCUAGAAGAUGAACACCAAUCUAUCAACAAUGAUUUCAUCCUACUCAUCUACCACCAAAAUCAUGGCGAUGAUUUCCAAGUGCUCCGGGAUCUUUAACAUGGGAAAAGCCCUUACAUUCUGAAUUUCAACAAUUAGCAAGGUAUCAAUCUUUCAAUCUUUGUAUUUUUGUCGAGAUUAAAGGAAUAAUUCUGGACAGGCACAUUUCAUUGGAGGUUCUAAGAAGUAAAGUUCUCUGGAAUGUCAAUGUACAAACACGGUAGAACAGAAGGACAUUGAAGGCUUUAAGCAUGUAAAUGAACUCGCCAGCUUCUAAUAAUAAAGGGAAAUUGAUUUAGUGGAA